GGGAAGUCAUGCCUGUUUUACGAGACAUCGUAGUGCUGUUGGUGUCAGUGUGGCCUCAGUAAGACUAGCAAAAGUUAUUUUACUGGGAGGGAUUGCACAUGCCUAGUUGAGUUAAUUCUUUUACCAACAGAAGGUAAGUAACACUCAUGCAUCACAUCUGGCAACCGAAUACUAGAAAUGAAAAGGAAUGUACACCAUAGCUAUACCAACAGGUGAGUGUGAGUGAUGUGGAAGAAGUUAGUGUACUGAACACUCCACAUCUACAAACUUGUAAGAUCAAUGCUGGUUGUUUCUUGUGACCAGUGGGAGAUAUUAUAUAGAGCUUUCUGAAAUUUUGCAUUUAACAAAAGCGUUGAGACUCCUCAAAAGAUUAAUUUUAGGAUGUUCCUUGUUCACUUGAAUUCAUCGGUGGACAUAAGCUUGGGAGAGAGAAUGUUAAAACAAAACCUAAAACAUUAAAAACAAGACCCGAACUGAAACUUCUCUCUCUUUGCAUCUGGAACCUCUUAUAUCAGUUAUAUAAAUAAAGACUUUAAUCUUUGGCUUUUAUUCUGAUAGAAGAGACUUUGAAAAUUCUUGUGAGAUAAAUGAAAGAACUUCAGUAGAGAAAUUAAUCUCAGCAAAAUACAUAUAUUUGUCACAUCUUUGAAAGAGUAUUUAUCUAUUCGAAUGUCAUUUGAUUGCUUUGAAAAUGUUCUCUCUAGCAAACUUUAAGAGCCUUACUCCUAAGCAAAGCAGAGCUGGACUUGAGAUAGGAAUCUGAGGUAGUGUGCUAGCCAGUGGUGGUGGGGGGAUGACCCUCUACCCCAGGGCUAUUCUUGGCCUCCCUUGCUUGGGGACCAAUAUAGAAAACCUUUAUCCAUGUUGUGCUUCUAUUUAUUGGGAGUUUUUAUGUGGAGAAGCAUCAAAAAACAUUCCCCCAUCUACUGCCUGAAGUGGUACAGUUCAUUCUGCCAUCUUGGCACUCCUCUCUCCAGCUUCUACCUGGUUUUACUGCAUGUAAUACUGUGCCUGAGAAUCAGCUGCAGGAGGGGGGUAUCCUAAAUGAAUGUGGCUACCAAAAGGCAUUGAGGAUUCUUGUUGGAUUGUUUGCUUUUUUUUUAACUCCAGGGUGUAUCUUUUUUCUAUUAACUUGCUGCUUGCAUUUUUACACAAGAGUUUGAAACUAUGAUAGCAGCAUAAGUCCUCAGCUUCUAAAUUCUCUUCUGCCCCCGACAUAGGCAUAAUAUUGUUAAUCAUUAACUCCCCUUAUAGGAAAUAUUAAUCCCUGCUAAUAAAAUAUUGAUCAAUACAUUUUCUUGAUGAAUUCUUCAAAUUAGCAUUCUUCAGCUCAUCAAAAAUGCUGCUGCUUAGAAUUCGCUGCAGCAUAAAGCAUAUAUUAAUCCAUUUUUUUUCUUCAGGCUGCGUGAAGCCCCUUUAAUGUCAGCCUCUGACUCCUCUUCACUUGCCAGGCACAUUGAAAUCCUCCACUGGAAUUUUCUGCAACUCACUAAGAUUUGCACAACUUUUGUUGGUAAGUGUAACUGUUUCUCCCACCUCACAACCAAGGCCUUCGUGUUAUGAAGGGCAGAUGUUGCUCCAGCUCUUUAGCACUUUCAUAUUAAUAAUUCUUUAGCCAAUCCAUGGAUUCAUCAGAUUCUUUUUUCUUUACUUUCUCUCAUUUAUAAUUGGAACUGCUGCAGGUACAAUUGCUGUGCUAUUAAGGCAGACCCACAAAGCAACAUCAGGUAAUUAACAGCCUGGCUCACAUAUCAGUGCAAGCCUGAGUGCCUGGAUUUAAGCUGAUGGACAAAGCCAUCUGAUGCAUAUUAUAUACUGCAUAUACAGUCAUACCUCGGGUUACAGAAGCUUCAGGUUGCGUUUUUUUGGGUUACAGACCCGCUGAAACCCAGAAGUACCCGAACGGGUUACUUCCGGGUUUUGGCGGUUGCACACACGCAGAAGCGCCAAAUCGCAACCCGCGCAUACGCAUAUGCAGUGUUGCGGGUUGUGAACACUGCGGGUUGCGACCGUGCCUCCCGCACGGAUCACCUUCGCAACCCGAGCGUCCAUUGUAUUAUAUACCGAGAUGCAAGGGUAAACAUGUCUUAUUCCCAAGGAAGUAGGCAUAGCAUUGCAGCCAGAUCCUGUACUGCAGUGGCUGGUUAGGGUGUUAGCUAGGGGAAUCCACUGGUGGUUCCAUGGCUAUUGAAUCAAUAUCCUACAGUUAUAUUGAAUGGCUGGGGGGCAGCUAGUACCAGGCGUAUGCACAGUUGCUGUCUGAACAGUCACCCCUGCUGAUGUCAGCAACUUUUGGUUGCAUGGGGUUGACUCAGCACCCUCCACAAAGAAUCACCUUCCUUGCCACUUACCAGAGUGCAUAGGUGAGGUUGACAAUCACCCAUUCUGAAUUGCAUCACAUGGCUGCAGGCAGUUUCACUUAGUGCUCUGUUUCAUGGGCAACUGCUGAUGCUGCAUGUAUUCACUUGGAUAUAAGUCCGGCUGAAUUCCACAGGGCUUCCUCUGAUGUGCACCUAGAAUGAUGACCAUGCAAUGUGAUCCUUGACCAGUGUGUUGCAGCUGGAAUUGGAAGAUGCCUCUCAUGGUCAGAUCAUAUUGAAGUGUAGGUGUACAGUAUCAUGGGUCUGAGAAGUAUCACACUUUGUAUCCUUGCAAAGGAACCAUAAAUGGUUAUGUGUGUCUUUUCCUCCUGACUAAAAACAAGCAGUUGGAGACCAUUCGUAAGAACCCUGCUAGAUUCAUAAGAACCCAAAGGGCCGUCUAGUUCAGCAUCCUUUUCUCACAGUGGCCAACCAGUUCCUAAUGGGAAAUUUGCAAGCAGGACAUGAAGGCAAUAAAGCUCUGAUGCUGUUCCCCAGCAACUGGUCUUCGGAGACAUAUUGCCUCUGAUAAAUGGAGUUAGUCAUCAUGACUAGCACUCCAUAAAUCCCCUUUAUCCAUCAGUUCAUAAUCAUAGAAUUGUAGAGUUGGAAAGGACCCUGAGGAUCAUCUAGUCCAGCCUUUCUCAACCUGUGGGCCCCCAGAUGUUGUUGAACUACAACUCCCAUCACCCCUAGCUAGCAAGGCCAGAGCUCAAGGAUGAUGGGAGUUGUAGUCCAACAACAUCUGGGGACCCACAGGUCGAGAACUGCUGAUCUAGUCCAACCAACCCCCUGCAAUGCAGGAAUAUGAAGCUAUCCUAUACAGGGAUCAAACUUGCAACCUUGCCAUUACCACACUCUAACCAAUGGAGCUAUCCAGGUUAUAGUGAAUUCCAGGAAAGAGGGCCAGGGAGGAACUACUUAUUUCAGGGGUAGCCAACAUGGUGCCCUCCAGAUGUUGCUGAAUCUACAAUUCCUAGCAGCUCCAGACAGCAUGGCCGGUGGUCAGGGAGGAUGGGAACUGCGGUUUUGUUAAACAUCUGGAGGCCUAGACCGACUGUAAGGACAAAAAAUGGUCAAAAGGUGUUGCAUGUUGAAUCCAGAAAGUUUAAAUAUUAAUCAGUAACAAAAGAUCAUGCCUAAGAAUCAAGUAACAGCCAGCAUUAUCACACUUCCCUCCACCUGCCAUUUGAUUCUACUCGGUUUUUCUUUUGAAUAUGGAAUUUUAUGUGUAGAAUAUGCUCAGUUAGGUGUAUAAUACGACCCAACUGUGCAGAAAUGUCAUGCAUGCAAAAUCUAUGCAAAGUCCCUACUACGCUGGUGCCUGAAUCAAUUUAAAGAAGAUGCUCCAUCAAAUAGGAUAAAGGCAGAUUAAGCACAUACAAAUGAAACAGUGUGAGGGCAUGGGGCUUAUCAGAAUUUGUUGGCAUGCGUGCGGAAUACAAAUGGAGAAAAAAUUGUGUUUGGUCUUAUACAAAACUCAUUUAGUGACUACAUCUGAAGAGGUCAGAGGUAACUACAGAAAUAUACAAAGUGGAGCGUUCUGCUGAAAAGGUCAUGAACAAACUGGAGAGAAGCAUGUCACAGACAAUCCCAUCUUCACUUACAACACACCUGGCCUUGAUGGCAUAGGAAGGUCUGGGCAUUCAAGGUCUCUCCAGUCUUGCAAUUUGUCCAUGACAACUUGUCUAAAUCAAAAUUGGUUUUAUUAUAGAUCAUAUAAAGUGACCAGUACAAUCUGCACGUUAGCUCCCUGUGCCAUUUAAUGUCCAGCCAAGUAUUAUUACACCCCUCUUUGCCCCUUAUUUUGUUGUGCUUUGGAUGUUUGGAUUGACAGUUUCUUUUAGCUUUGAAGCCCACAGCAGGGAUGGAAAAAUCUGUCCAUUUCAGUUUCUGUUCCUCAUUACUUCAUGUCUCCACAUUUUUGCAUCAGUUUGCAUUUUUUUAUUAUUAAAAAAAAGGUAAUGGGAAUUUUUGUGCAUUUUAGUUCAGAUUUUCUCCACAUUUUGUGGGCAAUUAUACUUGAUAGAAAGAGUUUGCAUGCAAUCUUCCUUAAUAUAAUCCAUUUUGUAUUUUAUUUUCACUGAAUGCUUGCAUUUUUAUACACACUUUCCCCUAACACAACACAUUUAUGUACACACAGCUUGGUUGGAGAGCUUCACUGCAAAAUUCAGAGAAGUGCAAUUUUUGAGGCUCCUGUAUUGUUUUGGGAAGUGUGAAUUAGGUAGGUCCGCAUAAAAAUGCAAACCAAACCACAUUUCUCUCUCAUCUGAACUCUAUAGCAGUGUGCUUGAGGUUAAGCUAGCCCUGCCACACAAAUGUUCCUAUCUACCAGCCACAACAUGCUCAAACUAAAGUAAGCACAUAUCUAGGAAGUGAGAAUUGAAAAAGCAAUCUCCAUAACACUGCAACACAAAUCUCUUCACUUUGUUUCAGGGUGUUAUACCAUGGUCUCUCUCCCACCCCGGUAUAUCAAAAUGCAUAUCUAUUUUCCCCCAGCAGUUUGAAAGCACGUCAAAGUGCAAGUAGAUAAAUAGGUACCGCUGCGGUGGGAAGGUAAACAGCAUUUCUGUGCGCUCUGGUUUCCGUCACGGUGUUCUGUUGUGCCAGUAGUGGUUUAGUCAUGCUGGCCACAUGACCUGGAAAGCUGUCUGAUAAGUAGAUAAAUAGGUACCGCUCCAGCGGGAAGGUAAACAGCAUUUCUGUGUACUGCUCUGGUUCGUCAGAAGCGGCUCAGUAGUCAUUCUGGCCACAUGAACUGGAAGCUGUCUGCGGACAAACGCUGGCUCCCUCGACCUAUAGAGCAAGAUAAGCGCGCAACUCCAGAGUUGUCUGCGAUUGGACCUAACAGUCAGUUUACCUUUACUAAUUUUAUGAAUUGACACCUAAAAGAUAACUAUCAAAUCAGAACCCCAGAUCUCUCAACCACCAUACCCAGCAAAUUUUUAUCUCAGACUUGGAGUACCUCAUAUCAAUCUACCCUGUUGAAGAUGCAGAAUCAUAAAGGAUGAGGGCUGGACACUCUCAUACCCUCCAACAUUUCUCUGAUGAAAAUAGGGAUGUCCUAAGGAAAAGCAGGAUAUUCCAGGGUCAAAUCAGAAACCUGGAUGGCUUCUGUAAAUCCAGGACUGUUCCUGGAAAAUAGGGGCACUUGGAUAGUCUGCUCUCUGGAUCCAGUUGUAACUGGAGCAUGACUCCAAAAAGUCCUAGCUGAAUCUCUUUGUGUUAUCCGCCUCAGCAUCUGUUUUUGUUGCCUCCUUUUCCUGAAGUUAGCACUGCAGGGGUAAAGGGUGAAAAUGGGGGGUUGCGCUACGCCUAGACACAGCUGUGAGCAUUUGCAACCACGUUUAGAGAUGCUGGAAACAAUAGGAAAUGUAGUUUCUGUGGUUCCCAAAAUUUCUGGACUCUAUUCCGAGUGUGUGAAGCAUUUCAUGUCUCCAUUUGUGAUGAUCCUGAAAAUACUUUAUGGGCACAAAGCACUACAGAAAUGAGAAAAUGAAGCCUUUUUGAACAUUACAUUUGCCUCAGUAUCAUGUGGAGUCAUUUAGGUGAAAAUGUCCUGGUAGAAUGGCCUAUUAAAUCAUUCAGGAAAGAGUUGUGCACACAAGUGAUCAGGUAUCCAGUAUCCAACUUAUGAACUCCCUCCUCCACACACUGAAAAAGUGUGUGUGUGUGUGUGUGUGUGUGUGUGUGUGUGUAAAAUUUCAUGAAGCCAUCCUCAACUUAAUUCUUCAUUGAGGUCCAUUGGAGUUAAAAGGAGAAAACAGGAUUCUGAUACAUUUUACCUCCCAGCAGAAAGUGAAGAAGAAUAACUAAGAGCUGGAGAUAGCUGAGUUGCAGAAUUUGUAAAUAAUGAAAACCAAACACAGGGAUUCUCUGCUAACUUGAUUUUUAUUCCUCGCUAGGCAAUGCAUAAUGCCGUAACAUUUUUCAGCAUACAUUGAAAAACACUUCCUUGUUUUAGAGCACAGGUAUUUAGGAAUACGAUAUUUCACUGCUGAAUGUGAACAAAAGCAAAAUGAGGUAAUCUUUAAGGCUGCAGUUUGUUACUUACCUUGGAGUAAGCUGCAUCGAACUCAGUGGAUCAUACUUCUGAGUAGACAUUUAUAGAAAUGCCCUGUUAGCAACAUAAACCAGGAGAUGUAUUCUGCAAAUAGCCACAAGCAAGAUGUCACUAGAAAAAACUAGAAAGGCUUUUUGUUGAAGAAGUGGGACAGCUGAAGGUCCUUUGGGUUUCGGUGUUUGUUUGUUUUUAAAUCACUCCUUCCUGUUUUAAUUUUAAAAAUAUAUAUUAAAAAAAGAUUGCAUUGCUCAAGUAGUUUGUGCAACCCUCUUGGAAUGGCUUGAGUUAGAUCCACAUUUUUGAAACACAGGAUGUAUCUAUGAUCUCAAGGGAGAGAUGCCACAGAAAAGCUGGAGAAAUCAGAGACCAUGGACAAAUAGCAUGCUAUGAUGUCGGAUAAGUAUCUGCACGGGGUUCUGAAGUCCUCCAACCCCCUGGCAGGUGCAGAGACUAACCAAUGUAUCUGUACCAUCCCUCUCUAGAAGAGAGAGGCAGAAGUUUGUUUGGGUUGUCUGUCUUGUAUCCAGCAAGCACAGAACUAAAACAAAUAGCAGGUUUCUGUCUAUGUUUUGGGUGAUGGAGGGAGCAGAGACCACCCCUCUCUCCCUACAUCUCCAGCUGUAGCCAAUCACAGUUUUGUUAUGGAAAUUGCAGGUAUAUGCCUCAGGAUGGGGUGAUGGAUGUCUCUUUAUUGAACCAAUAAUUAGUGUGAUGGGUUCACUUUCAGCCCUGGAAUGUCAAGGGCAUCAGCUUUUGGAAGAUGACUCAUCCUUCCUCUAAGGCUAAGCUAAGAGUGAAUCUUAAGGCCUCUGUGUAAAAGAAAGUAGAGCAUAAAGAAGACACAGACAAAAAAGUACCCAAAUCCAUAUAAACAUUGUAUUUUAGAAUCAAAUAAAUUUAGAAAGAUGUAUUCUGCGAGAAAACACAUUCAAAAUAGCUAUUUAAAUAUAAAUCCUCUAUGGAUUUAUUUUUAUUUUUAAAUGCAGGUAUGAGAUGGAAUACUUAGAACAAAAGAAGAGCCAUCUAGUUCAGCAUCCUGUUCUGACAGUUGCCAGUCAGAUGCUCUAUUGGGAAACCCCCAAGGAGGACCCAAGCACAGUAGUCCUCUCCCUUCCUCUCUUCUGAAUAAAGACAUGUAAAACUGUGUUUGUUUGAAAUGCAUUUGUGUUUUCUUUGUUGUAAGCUACUCUGAGCACGAUUCUUUUAUGUGGAAAAGAAGCAUACAAAUAAAAUUGGGAGGGGAGGAACCUGCAAGUGGCAUGACCAG
rnacentral:lncRNA from 1 species